GGUGUAUUCCUGCAGGAUUAACUCUAUGAUGAGUUGUCUAACUUUGCUUUCAGCAUGUCUCCUAGUUCAUUUAGGGGUGGUGAAAUUGGCAGUUGGAAUCUGCAAUUCAUAUGGUGCAAUAAAUGAGAAGCUACCAAGAGGGACUCACAGAACCGAUUGCAAGUCACCCACUCAGUGCAUUUUUUAUGAUCACAACCUUGAGCCUAUUAGGGAGCUAAUAUUCCAUGGUUGCAUGCCUAGGACACCUCAAUUUCCCAGGGGCAGAUAUGUAUAUAUCUCUGGAGUUGUUACUGAUUUGAGCAAUUCAAAAGUUGCAACAGGUCUCUGAAAUUCUUUUAGAUUUUGAAAUGCCCCCGUUUCAUGUCUUUCCAAGAAGCCAGCUUCCUGCAAUCCUAAUGAAGGUGGAGAUGCUGAGUUGCCCAGAUAUUGAGUUCAGACUAAAUGAAUGUUGUCAAAUUUCAGAAGAAGAACAGAACUUCCCUUGAAUACAGGGUGGAAGAAGAGGGAGGAACCCAAUACAAAGAUGCAUGAGAUGCUGUUCUCUUGAUGGGAUGAAGAAGAAAUGAAGAAUCACCAAGCUGUUUGGCUUGACCGAGGAAGGGAGAAACAAAGAAAACAGAGCUGAAGAAAAGAAAAUGACGACAUAUGUGCAAGGAUAUUCCAACCAUUAGACGUCCACAACUGAUGCAAGCACACUAUGUGAAGUCAAACAGGUUGCUCUAUUUAAAAGUUUUCAUAUAAUUUACCCUUGAAUGCUACAUUUCAGUCAUUUCAUUCAACUGUCAUGCUUCCAUCUCUGUGGACCAAUGCACUGUGAUAUUAUCAAAGAGACAAACAUUCAAAGCCA